AGGACGAACGCUGGCGGCGUGCUUAACACAUGCAAGUCGAACGGUGACCUUGGAGCUUGCUCCAGGCGAUCAGUGGCGAACGGGUGAGUAACACGUGAGUAACCUGCCCCUCACUCUGGGAUAACCCCGGGAAACCGGAGCUAAUACCGGAUACGACUCAAGUAGGCAUCUACAUUGAGUGGAAAGUUUUUCGGUGAGGGAUGGACUCGCGGCCUAUCAGCUUGUGGUGAGGUAUGGCCCACCAAGGCGACGACGGGUA
rnacentral:rRNA from 1 species